UUGGAGUAAGCACAAGGAAGGAGAGAGCACUCUCGGCUUUGAUAUAACAGAAAACUACAGUAUUUCUUGAUGCUUAUUACAUUGGAAAGAGGCCUUAUUUAUACUAAAUUCUAAGAGCAUUUUGUCCAAAUUUUAAAAAAAAAACAUUGAAUCUAAAUGGGAGUUAUAUGGAAUCCAUUAUUAGGGAGUUAUAUAUGAAACUGGAUUUGAUUGUGACUCAAUAAUAUGCAGGAGAGUUAUGAAGAUAAUAGAGGUUAUAUAUAGAGACGAAGCUUUUAAAUUUCAUUUCACUUUUGCUGGAAAUUUAAGAGGAAACUUACAUGCAAUUCUUUAUACGUACAUCUGUUACAUGAUCUGUUGUCAAGUUGAAAAGAGCAUCUAUGAUAUUUUUAGACAUGUACAAUAUAUUGCAUUUCUUUAGUCUUGUCCAAUAUAUGUGUGUGUGUGUAUCAAAUGCUUAGAUAUAAAUAUAUAUAUAUAUAUAUAUAUAUCUUUUUGUCUCACGUGAAACCCUCUUUCUUGUCUAUAUAGCUCUAUGGACCAUUAAUUUUAAUGACAUAUUUGUCCUUUCAUAAAACAAAUUACAUAUUAUAUCAUCAAUAUAUGUAUUCACUCACAGAUCAGACACGCGCACACACAAGAUAACUUGUCUUUCAUUUACUACUAUAUAUAUCCAAGCAAAUUAAGAGUAUAACAUGUUUAUUUUGUUCUUUCCAAAUGGAUAUGGAAGCAGACGAGCAUGGAUGGAAGCUAGUUCCACAGAUUUAGAUGGAAUCAGACCACCAGAUAUUUUAUCAUCUUCUCAGCAAAGAACUGAGAAAUCCGAGGGAAAUAAUAAUUUGUUACAGUCAAGAAGCUUAAAGGAGUAUGAGAAUUUAAGCUUGGAGUUCACUCUAGGGAGAUCAACGUGGGAAAGCAACGAACAUGCCUAGUUAAAGUUUGGCACGUCGUGAUUCUUGAAAUAGAUCUUCAAAGACGGAGAAGACCAAGUAGAGAUCUAAUGCACAGAUAAUAUAUAUAUAUAUAUAUAUAUAGCUAGGGUACUGCUCUAUAUUGUUAAGGUCACUUUCUACUAAGCUUAAAAAAGCAUCUUUGUAUAUUCUUUUAUUGAGCCAAAGCUAGGUUAUUCACUUGGUUUCUAACUUUUAAGGUGAUGUUAGUCAUUACAAAAACUAUCAUGAUUAUAAAGAAAAAGAUCAAGAUCAGAGAGAAAAAGAAGGAGAAUCAGAUCAAUGAUGUAUUUUAUUUUCUUACCACUUUCUUUCUUUUUCAUGUCUUUUCUCUCCUUUUUCUUAGGUUCCUACCGAUUCCUGUAGCAAUAAACAAUUUUACAUAUAUAUAUAUAUAUAUCUUGAGUGAUCA